CUUUGAUGGACUUCUUCUUCUUCUCCUCUCCUCCGGCAAUGGAGGACUCACCAAGGUCUGGACCUGGACAGGAACCAACACACAACAGGCCACAUUCUGUCCAUCCUUGAGGAAAGUCUUCUCUUUCUUCUGGGUUUGGAAGUGAGAGCAAAGACACACAGAUUCAUUGAGAUUGUCACAUGUCGUCCCUUCUUAUCGCUGACUCAGGGGCCUGAGCCGUGGAGCCCCUGGAGGUGGAGGAGCUGGUGGAGGAUUUGGAGGACGAAGGAG